ensembl:miRNA microRNA 128-1
GGAGCGGCUGGAUUCGGGGCCGAGGCACUGUCUGAGACGCCCUACGAUUCUCACAGUGAACCGGUCUCUUUUCCAGCCCCUCACU